AGCAUUGACAAAGGAGGCAAGAGUAUUCGAACACGUAUGAAUCGUUGGUCAUCAGAACCUUUCUGUCCUGAGGUCAGCCUUAGUGUCUCUACUGGAGCAGAUGCCUGCCAAAAAAACUGCCCUUCCUCCUCCUCCGCACAGUAGGAUCACACAUUCUGACACCAGGCGCCAUUAGCGAAGGGCGGGUCAAGGUGCCCUCAGUCCCAAGGCUGAGGCUUCAGGAGGCAUCGUGUGCCCUGCUGGCCCAGCAUCCGCUAAGUUCCGGGUGGAGACUAGCCUGCGUGCCCGGGUGCCCACAGGGAGAUGGGUUAGCUUCACCUGUCGUGGAGGGAUCACCCAGGAGGUGCGUGAGGUCACGUGCCUCGGUGGUGCCUCGCUGUGCCAGCUCCUCCUCGUGAACACGCCGCAGCUCUCUGAUCCAGCCUUUGGACGACUGUCAUUUCAGUUUCCACGUUCAGGCUGUAAUGAAU
ensembl:lncRNA